rnacentral:rRNA from 1 species
GAUGAACGCUAGCGGCAGGCUUAGACACAUGCAAGUCGAGGGGUAGAGUAGCAAUACUUGAGACCGGCGCACGGGUGCGUAACGCGUAUGCAAUCUACCUUUUACAGAGGGAUAGCCCAGAGAAAUUUGGAUUAAUACCUCAUAGUAUUAUGAAAUGGCAUCAUUUUAUAAUUAAAGUCACAACGGUAAAAGAUGAGCAUGCGUCCCAUUAGCUAGUUGGUAAGGUAACGGCUUACCAAGGCUACGAUGGGUAGGGGUCCUGAGAGGGAGAUCCCCCACACUGGUACUGAGACACGGACCAGACUCCUACGGGAGGCAGCAGUGAGGAAUAUUGGACAAUGGGCGCAAGCCUGAUCCAGCCAUGCCGCGUGCAGGAUGACGGUCCUAUGGAUUGUAAACUGCUUUUAUACGAGAAGAAACACUCCGACGUGUCGGAGCUUGACGGUAUCGUAAGAAUAAGGAUCGGCUAACUCCGUGCCAGCAGCCGCGGUAAUACGGAGGAUCCAAGCGUUAUCCGGAAUCAUUGGGUUUAAAGGGUCCGUAGGCGGUUUAAUAAGUCAGUGGUGAAAGCCCAUCGCUCAACGGUGGAACGGCCAUUGAUACUGUUAAACUUGAAUUAUUAGGAAGUAACUAGAAUAUGUAGUGUAGCGGUGAAAUGCUUAGAGAUUACAUGGAAUACCAAUUGCGAAGGCAGGUUACUACUAAUGGAUUGACGCUGAUGG